AGUUGUCGUGCCAACGGCAUAGCUGGGUAGCUAUGUGUGGACGGGAUAAGUGCUGAAAGCAUCUAAGCAUGAAGCCCCCCUCAAGAUGAGAUUUCCCAACUUCGGUUAUAAGAUCCCUCAAAGAUGAUGAGGUUAAUAGGUUCGAGGUGGAAGCAUGGUGACAUGUGGAGCUGACGAAUACUAAUCGAUCGAAGACUUAAUCAA
rnacentral:rRNA from 1 species